rnacentral:rRNA from 1 species
AUUGAACGCUGGCGGCAUGCUUUACACAUGCAAGUCGAACGGCAGCGCGGGCUUCGGCCUGGCGGCGAGUGGCGAACGGGUGAGUAAUGCAUCGGAACGUGCCCAGUAGUGGGGGAUAGCCCGGCGAAAGCCGGAUUAAUACCGCAUACGACCUGAGGGUGAAAGCGGGGGACCGAAAGGCCUCGCGCUAUUGGAGCGGCCGAUGUCGGAUUAGCUAGUUGGUGGGGUAAAGGCUUACCAAGGCGACGAUCCGUAGCUGGUCUGAGAGGACGACCAGCCACAGUGGGACUGAGACACGGCCCAGACUCCUACGGGGGGCAGCAGUGGGGAAUUUUGGAAAAGGGGGGCAACCCUGACCCAGCCAUGCCGGGUGGGGGAAGAAGGCCUUCGGGUUGUAAACCGCUUUUGUUGGGGAAGAAAUCCUCUGGGCUAAAACCCCGGGGGGAUGACGGUACCGGAAGAAAAAGCCCCGGCUAACUACGU